GGAGAGGUGGUUGAGUGGUUGAAGGCGCUCGCCUGGAAAGCGGGUAGACGUUUAUAGCGUCUCGAGGGUUCGAAUCCCUCUCUCUCCGCCA
rnacentral:tRNA from 1 species